rnacentral:tRNA from 2 species
GCGCCCGUAGCUCAGCUGGAUAGAGCAGCGGACUUCUAAUCCGCAGGUCAUAGGUUCGAAUCCUAUCGGGCGUA